rnacentral:rRNA from 1 species
CCCUGACCGGACCGACGGCGUGAGUGAGGAAGACGGCCUGGGGGUAGUAAACCACUGUCGAAGGAGACGAUAUGGACGGUACCCUUGGAGGAAGCCCGCGGCUAACUACGUGCCACGCAGCCGCGGUAAGACGUAGGGGGCAAGCGUUGUCCGGAAUCAUUGGGAUUAAAGCGCUCGUAGGCGGAUCAGCACGUAUGUGAAGACAGACCCGGGCUCAAUUCGGGGACCUGCAUGGAUACUGUUUGUCUUGAGGUAAUCAGAGGGUGAUGGAAUUCCCGAUGUAUUGCUGAAGUGGCGUAGA